rnacentral:rRNA from 1 species
UACGUAGGGUGCAAGCGUUAAUCGGAAUUACUGGGCGUAAAGGGCUCGUAGGCGGCCAACUAAGUCAGACGUGAAAUCCCUCGGCUUAACCGGGGAACUGCGUCUGAUACUGGAUGGCUUGAGUUUGGGAGAGGGAUGCGGAAUUCCAGGUGUAGCGGUGAAAUGCGCAGAUAUCAGGAGGAACACCAAUUGCGAAGGCAGCUCGCUGGGACGUUACUGACGCUGAGACGCGAAAGCGUGGGGAGCAAACAGG